rnacentral:rRNA from 1 species
CCUACGGGGGGCUGCAGUGGGGAAUAUUGGACAUUGGGGGGAACCCUGAUCCAGCCAUGCCGCGUGUGUGAAGAAGGCCCUCGGGUUGUAAAGCACUUUCAGUGAGGAAGAACGCCUGGUGGUUAAUACCCAUCAGGAAAGACAUCACUCACAGAAGAAGCACCGGCUAACUCCGUGCCAGCAGCCGCGGUAAUACGGAGGGUGCGAGCGUUAAUCGGAAUUACUGGGCGUAAAGCGCGCGUAGGUGGCUUGAUAAGCCGGUUGUGAAAGCCCCGGGCUCAACCUGGGAACGGCAUCCGGAACUGUCAAGCUAGAGUGCAGGAGAGGAAGGUAGAAUUCCCGGUGUAGCGGUGAAAUGCGUAGAGAUCGGGAGGAAUACCAGUGGCGAAGGCGGCCUUCUGGACUGACACUGACACUGAGGUGCGAAAGCGUGGGUAGCAAACAGGAUUAGAUUACCCCGGUAGUC